UAAUUCACUAAAUCUACUUUUAAGUAAUCACUCUGGGUGGGUAAAUGUCCCAGGUAUAACCAGGUUUACAAAGAGGAGGAAAAAAGCUCUUAGAUUUGGCAGCAUAUUAAGGGUCAUAAACUUACACCUAUAAUACAGGCUGAAAGUGUUAGAAGAGAGUUACUAAGAGGCCUGUGUAGUCAAGUGAAAAGGACAUAAUAUCCAGUGAUAGGAAAUCAAGACACGGUGUAAAGACAGUAGCUGGUGAGAUGAGCUCUAAAGUAAGACUUUGGGAAUGAGAACUUCCAUUAAGGCAAAGAGUAGGAAGUUUGAGCAGUGCUCUGUAGCAUGGGAUGUGUGUUUAAAAAGGGGGAGAAAUUAACUAGAGAAUGUCAUUUGGGGUCCCAGAGUGCCUGACAAUAAAAACUAAUCAGAGGAAUUUGUGUUCACUUGGUUUGAUAGUCACUGACGAGGAAAGUGUGUCAAUGGAGUGGUAGUUUGAAGAGAGCCAAGAAGCUGGAGGAACAAGGAUUUGGAAGGCCAGUGGAAUGUAUUAGUAAAGGAAUUAUUGAUGUCUCAUGCAUUUGUGUAAAUUACAAGUUCCAACUUUCUCCGAUUUUCACUCCUUUUUAUAAGGAGCUUACAAAAUGACAACUUGGGCAUCUGGUGAAGAGCCAGCUGCCAUCCAUCUGUAAGGAAGUAGAUAUCUUUACACAUUGUAUGUGGAUUCUAAACUAGAAGUUUUUCAGAGAGUAAAGUGGGGGAUCAGGUGAUUAAGUAAAUCUAAUUGCAAUCCUAAUACAUGUCCCCGCCCCUCUGUGCUGUCGCCUUAGGUACGAAUAGUAGCCUCUCCUCUUCAACCUAUGCUUCUCAAAUGUAAGAAUCACCUGGAGAUAUCAUUAAAAUGUGCACAUCCAAACUGGAGUCUGGUCUGAGAUUCUGCAUUUCUAACAAGUUUCCGGGUAUUGACAAUACUGAUAGUUCAUAGACCACACCUUCAGGCUGAGUCUUAAAAUACUUUCUUUUUGCAUUACGUAUUGCAGAGAAAGUGGCUGAAAAUAGAAAUAGGGCAGAAAUAGAUCCAGUAUGCAUACAAGGAGAAAUGUCAUUAAAAAUAAUAAUGAGAAUAUAAUGCCUUGCACUUAUUUAGUGUUAGAGUAUGCAAAGCUUUUUUUGGAAUAUUAUCUCAUUUGACUCUAUUCAAAUUAUCUGUCUACAUUCAGCCACUAUCAUCUAGUACAUACAUACACACACAUAGAUACACACACACACAGACAC
rnacentral:lncRNA from 10 species